GAAGUCACCUGGAUGAUCGCGGAUGCAAGGGCUGAAAGGCCGCACCUGAGGAAAGUCCGGGCUCCAUAGAGCAGGGUGCUGGGUAACGCCCAGUCAGGGUAACCUGAAGGAAAGUGCAACAGAGAGAUACCGCCCGGCAUAUAACUGAAUUUAAAGUUGUUUACAGGACCAAGAUUUUGGUGGAGAUAAGCAAAGUUAAGCUCAGUUAUGUGCCGGGUAAGGCUGGAAAGGCGAGGUAAGAGCUCACCAGCGGUUAGGUGACUAGCCGGCUAUGUAAACCCCACUUGGAGCAAGACCGAAUAGAGGAACAAUGGAACUGCUCGUUCCGUUCCCGGGUAAGGUCGCGUGAGGCGUCAGGUAACUGACGUCCAAGAUAGAUGAUCAUCUCCCUCGCAAGAGGUGACAGAACCCGGCUUAUAGGGUGACUUCGUUA
rnacentral:RNase_P_RNA from 1 species